GCCGAAAUAGCUCAGUUGAGAGAGCGUUAGACUGAAAUCUAAAGGUCCCUGGUUCGGUCCCGGGUUUCGGUA
rnacentral:tRNA from 1 species